rnacentral:rRNA from 1 species
GACGAACGCUGGCGGCGUGCCUAACACAUGCAAGUGGAGCGACGAACCAGGCUUCGGCCUGGGGCAAAGCCGCGAACGGGUGAGUAACACGUGGGUAACCUGCCCCGAAGACCGGGACAACCCGAGGAAACUCGGGCUAAUACCGGAUGUGGUCACCGUCCAUAAGGACGAUGAGCAAAGGAAGCUUCGGCCUCCGCUUCGGGAGGGGCCCGCGGCCCAUUAGCUUGUUGGUGAGGUAACGGCUCACCAAGGCUGCGAUGGGUAGCUGGUCUGAGAGGACGAUCAGCCACACUGGGACUGAGACACGGCCCAGACUCCUACGGGAGGCAGCAGUGGGGAAUCUUGCGCAAUGCGCGAAAGCGUGACGCAGCAACGCCGCGUGGGGGAAGAAGGCCUUCGGGUCGUAAACCCCUUUCAGGAGGGACGAAGCCUCGGGAGUGAAUAGCUCUCCGAGGUGACGGUACCUCACGAAGAAGCCCCGGCUAACUACGUGCCAGCCGCCGCAGUAAAAC